rnacentral:misc_RNA from 1 species
UCCAAGUGGGACCUCCGACGUCUGUGUCGUUCUGUAGGAGCCACCCCUCUACCAAGAAUCACACCACCCACCGCUGAUGAGGCGGGAUACAGUGACAAGGUCUAUGUGGAUGAAAUUGGGGAAACAGCUGUCAUUGUUUUCAAACAAGACUCGGAAGAGAGUGCUAUUUCAACCAUCGUCAUCCGAGGAUCUACAGAAAAUGUGAUGGAUGACAUAGAAAGGGCCAUAGAUGAUGGCGUCAACACGUUCAAAGCUCUCACCAAGGAUUCCAGAAUGGUGCCAGGAGCAGGUGCCACAGAAAUAGAGCUGGCUAAACAGAUCAGUAGCUAUGGAGAAAGUUGUCCAGGCCUUGAGCAGUAUUCUAUUGUGAAGUUUGCUGAAGCUCUAGAAGUUGUACCAAAGGCCCUAGCUGAAAAUGCUGGAGCAAGGGGAACUGAAGUCCUGUCCAAACUGUAUGCAGCUCAUCAAGAGGGCAAGAAGAGUGUCGGAGUGGAUGUGGAGUCUGUGCCAGUUGGAGUGAGAGAUGCUCUAGAGGCCAACAUUCAAGAUCUGUACAUCAACAAGUUCUGGGGGCUCAAGUACGCCACCGUGGCCGCCUGCACCGUGCUGAAAGUGGACCAGAUUAUCAUGGCUAAAGCUGCUGGAGGUCCCAAACCCAAAGAAAACAAAGACUGGGAUGAGGAUUAAUGAAGAUUAUGAUGAUUAGCUAAUCCUAACAGACUAUCAACAAGGCUGGCCCACACCAUCUCAUUGCAGUUGUCACAAACAUCAGAUGUGUUCAGAGUUCAUUCCCCUCAUCAGUUCAACGGUUCAUGUUCAUCUCUAAGCACAUGAAUGGAGUUGCAAUAAUAAAUCUUAUAGACAAUGGUGGACACAGAUUAUGGCUAACACAUGUUUAGAUGUGUUAUGUUUUAUUUCUUUUGUGUUGAAGUUUUAUAAAAACUGGACCAGUGAUUGCUACCUAAUUAAUUAUGCCUCAAGAUAUAUAUGCAUAAAAAAGGCAUGAUUUUUCUCCAAUAUGGAGGAGAAUCAAGACUUAAUUUCAUAGAGAACUUGUGUGAGAUGGUUGUUUCAAGCCUAAUGUACAUGAUCAAAUUUUGUGAAGGAUUUGUUGCUGAUAUUUUUUUUUUUAUAAUAUUUAUGCUUUUGUGAAUGUCCCGAUAUUUACAUAAAUUUGAAAAUAAAACUUGAAUUCCCAAAAAC